rnacentral:rRNA from 1 species
AGGGAAUCUUCCGCAAUGGACGAAAGUCUGACGGAGCAACGCCGCGUGAGUGAUGAAGGUUUUCGGAUCGUAAAACUCUGUUGUUAGGGAAGAACAAGUAUCGUUCGAAUAGGGCGGUGCCUUGACGGUACCUAACCAGAAAGCCACGGCUAACUACGUGCCAGCAGCCGCGGUAAUACGUAGGUGGCAAGCGUUGUCCGGAAUUAUUGGGCGUAAAGCGCGCGCAGGCGGUUUCUUAAGUCUGAUGUGAAAGCCCACGGCUCAACCGUGGAGGGUCAUUGGAAACUGGGAGACUUGAGUGCAGAAGAGGAGAGUGGAAUUCCACGUGUAGCGGUGAAAUGCGUAGAGAUGUGGAGGAACACCAGUGGCGAAGGCGACUCUCUGGUCUGUAACUGACGCUGAGGCGCGAAAGCGUGGGGAGCGAAC